GGACUCUGUUAAACCUAAAGGCGCAAUGAAAGUAAAGGUCCGCCUCGCGCGGACCGAGGGAGGAUGGGCCCGUCCCCGGACGGGCCCCGCACUCCCGGGGCGUCUCGUCCUCAUCGCGAGGAGAGGCGCACCCAGAGCGUACACGCUGGGACCCGAAAGAUGGUGAACUAUGCCUGGUCAGGACGAAGUCAGGGGAAACCCUGAUGGAGGUCCGUAGCGAUUCUGACGUGCAAAUCGAUCGUCGGAACUGGGUAUAGGGGCGAAAGACUAAUCGAA
rnacentral:rRNA from 1 species